AAGGAAGAGGGGAGAGAGAGGAAGGAAAGAAGGGAGGGAGGGAAGGGAAAUGAGAGGUUGAGGCGCCAGGUUAGCGAAUCCAGGGACAGAGGAAGACUCUCCAAAGAAACGGAGGUGCAAAGUGAGGAUCUCAGAGGCCUCCUUGAUGGAGAAGAUAACCACGCAGAGAGGGGAAAACAGCCCCUGGGUGCCAUUUCGAGGAAAACAACCCCUGUGUUCCUUCCUCUCCUGAAAAAUAUAGAAGGAAAGGGAAAUCUAUGGAGGAAAUCACCUUAUGAAAGCAACAAACGGCACAUGAUUUACUAUGUAGUGUGGAUGGCAUAUACUGCACCCACAGGAACUUGACCUGCUUAACUCAAUGAAUCACAUUUUGAGAGAACAUAAGAGAGCUGGAGAAGGACCAAACCGCAGAGAAAAUCAUUUUGCUGCAAAGCUCUUUUACAAUAGGAGAAGACGUGGUAGGUUCAAUCCUAUCUGGGGAAAUUUGAGUUUGGACGGUGGCUGUUUGGUAUAUAAAAAUGCAAAGGAUCUCAAAAGAUUAUGCGUAAACAGUGGGUAUAGGGCAGUGAUUCCCAACCUUUUUUAUGACCAGGGACCACUCUCCAACAUUAGUACCAAAAGGGUUACAAAUCAGUUUUUGGUCAACUUUAGUUUCAGUUUGGGGUGCUAAUUCAGAAAAUUGUAUUGGAUGGACCACAUCAGCUCUAGUUUCUGAUACAGAACAUAUGCCAUGGUCAGCGACAGGGAUGGAGUGGCAGGGGGUGCGAAAGGAGCGGAAAUAAAAUAAAAUAAAUAAAAUAAAAUAAAUAAAGAGGAACGAGGCUCACGGACCAGAUUUUCUUCCUUACAGCCCACUGGUGGUCCAUGGCCCACAGGUUAAGAACCACUGAUAUAGGGAAAUAGACUUGCUUAAACUAUUAUAUCUUUUGUUGUAGUCUAGGGAACAUGAAGCCACCUCAUACUGAAUCUAUAUUCUCUGAGUGGCAGUCUCUUUCCAAGUCCUCAGGCAGACACCUUUCCUCACCAAUGAUGUCAAAAGAAGAAGUCAAAGAUUAAACCUAGAAUUGGAAGCAGGAGAAAUGCAGGUGUUUUACCCUAAGGAAGAAUAAAUAUUCACAACCUCGUGGAUACACAACCUCCUAAGAAUGCCAGGCAGGCCCUCCUCUCACUUCCACCAUCAUCACAAGCAAGGCUGGUGGGGAUGAAGGCGACGACUUUCUCAGUGGUGGCCCCCCAACUUUGAAACACCCUCCCCAGGAAGAUUAGGCAAGCACCCACACUGUCCUUUCAUAGGGAACUGAAAACCUGGAUGUCCCAGCAAGUUUUCAAGAAUGAUUAGUCCCUGGGCCCAGUCCCGAGGUUGCCAAAUAGUUCUCUGCUCUGUACUUCAUCCACUUUCCCAGCCCUAUGAUACACUGUUUGCACUAUCCCUUGCCCAGCCCUUUUUAAUUGAUUAGGUCCAUUUUUAGCAUUCUUGGCCAUUGCUAUUGUUGAACUUUGCCUGAUGGAGCUCCUAUGUAUUUGGUCAGCAGUUCAGCCAGCACAAGGGCUUAACCCAUUUCACUACCAUGGCUCCAGCCAAGUGAGUGAACAACAGCCAAAUCGCCAAAUGAAUAAAUGGUAACAAAACAUACUUAUUGGGGAGUAGCCUGCCACACCUCAAGACCAUACUCGUCUCUAAUUAAUUCCGACCCUGAACAUGUUCUGCAAAAUAGUUCUUAAAGGAGAUUUAUUCCUUUAGGUCUUUUAGGAGAAUGGACAGAGUAAUUGUGAUACACCAGAUCUAUCUCCUUGAUAUAUGAAGCUCUUCUACAAGUUUCCCCUAUUUUUUUGGGGGG